UUCUUCGCUAUGCACUAUUCAUAAGAAAAAGAACUUAGUGCCCCUUUGUUGUAACAGUCUGGCCUAAAUAGUCGGUGAUGACCCCAACCUAAAACACAUUAUGGGAUGCGCUGCAGCAGAGGUUAUCAAAUUUAUCAAGAAUUGGUAGAACAUCAAGUAGGGUUACCAAACUGAAAUUCCCCUUUGUUGUAACAGUCUGGCCUAAAUAGUCGGUGAUGACCCCAACCUAAAACACAUUAUGGGAUGCGCUGCAGCAGAGGUUAUCAAAUUUAUCAAGAAUUGGUAGAACAUCAAGUAGGGUUACCAAACUGAAAUUGCUUAGUUUGACGACCUAAUUUCUGUAAAGCUGGGUUGUUGGAAGAAACUUAGUAUGUUAGCAUCUUAGCCAUGGAACGAUAUGCUAGUGGCACACAAAGUUAAAGACAGGAUG
rnacentral:lncRNA from 1 species